rnacentral:rRNA from 1 species
GAUGAACGCUGGCGGCGUGCCUAAUACAUGCAAGUCGAGCGACCAGACGAGGAGCUUGCUCCUCUGCCGUUAGCGGCGGACGGGUGAGUAACACGUGGAUAACCUACCUCUAAGACUGGGAUAACUUCGGGGAACCGGAGCUAAUACCGCAUAAUAUAUUGAACCGCAUGGUUCAAUAGUGAAAGACGGUUUUGCUGUCUCUUAUAGAUGGAUCCGCGCUGCAUUAGCUAGUUGGUAAGGUAACGGCUUACCAAGGCGACGAUGCGUAGCCGACCUGAGAGGGUGAUCGGCCACACUGGAACUGAGACACGGUCCAGACUCCUACGGGAGGCAGCAGUAGGGAAUCUUCCGCAAUGGGCGAAAGCCUGACGGAGCAACGCCGCGUGAGUGAUGAAGGUCUUCGGAUCGUAAAACUCUGUUAUUAGGGAAGAACAAAUGUGUAAGUAACUAUGCACGUCUUGACGGUACCUAAUCAGAAAGCCACGGCUAACUACGUG